rnacentral:rRNA from 1 species
UACGUAGGGUGCGAGCGUUGUCCGGAAUUAUUGGGCGUAAAGAGCUCGUAGGUGGUUUGUCGCGUCUGCCGUGAAAACCCGAGGCUUAACCUCGUGGCUUGCGGUGGAUACGGGCAGACUAGAGGUAGGUAGGGGAGAACGGAAUUCCCGGUGUAGCGGUGAAAUGCGCAGAUAUCGGGAGGAACACCUGUGGCGAAAGCGGCUCACUGGACCACAACUGACGCUGAGGCGCGAAAGCUAGGGGAGCAAACAGG